AUGCUGAGUCACCCUAAGGAUGCGAGCCAGUGGCAAGCGUUGAACUUUGAAUACCCAGAAUUUGGGAAGGAUCCAAGGAGCAUCGUGCUGGGCGCGAGCACCGAUGGAGUCAAUCCGUUUGGCAGCCAGAGAAGCACACAUAGCACCUGGCCUGUGUUUGUGUGGAUGUACAACCUUCCCCCCUGGUUGUGCAUGAAGAGGAAGUACAUUCACAUGAGUAUGCUAAUUGAAGGGACGAAACAACCAGGGAAUGACAUCAAUCUGUAUCUGGGGCUGCUGAAGGAGGAGCUAGACACGCUGUGGAAAACGCCAGCCAAUACGUGGGACGCCGCAGAGAAAGAAUAUUUCCCUAUGAGAGCCGCACUGCUCACGACGGUGCACGACUAUCUCGGUUACGGAUAUCUCGCGGGGCAGGUAGUCCACGGAUUUUCUGGAUGCGUAAGGUGCAUGGAUGACACAACGUAUCGCCAGCUAGAUAGAGAUCCCGGGUCUUCGAAAACCGUGUUCAUGGGACAUCGAAGGUGGCUUCGCGACGAUGACCCGUGGAGGAAACGCAAGGAUCUGUUCGAUGGUGAACCCGAACCCCGAAAACGCCCGUGUACGAGGAGCGGCAAGGAAAUAGACGAGCUAUUGAAAAAUUGGAAAGACUGCCCACUGUCAAGAAAGAAGCAAAAGGCGCCAGAGCCGGGAAAGAAGCGAAAGGCGCCAGAGCCGCUGCUGAAGGUAUGGAAAACGAGGUCUGUUUUCUAG
rnacentral:rRNA from 1 species